ACCGGAUUAGAUACCCUGGUAGUCCAUGCCGUAAACGAUGAGUGCUAAGUGUUAGAGGGUUUCCGCCCUUUAGUGCUGCAGCUAACGCAUUAAGCACUCCGCCUGGGGAGUACGGUCGCAAGACUGAAACUCAAAGGAAUUGACGGGGGCCCGCACAAGCGGUGGAGCAUGUGGUUUAAUUCGAAGCAACGCGAAGAACCUUACCAGGUCUUGACAUCCUCUGACAACUCUAGAGAUAGAGCGUUCCCCUUCGGGGGACAGAGUGACAGGUGGUGCAUGGUUGUCGUCAGCUCGUGUCGUGAGAUGUUGGGUUAAGUCCCGCAACGAGCGCAACCCUUGAUCUUAGUUGCCAGCAUUUAGUUGGGCACUCUAAGGUGACUGCCGGUGACAAACCGGAGGAAGGUGGGGAUGACGUCAAAUCAUCAUGCCCCUUAUGACCUGGGCUACACACGUGCUACAAUGGAUGGUACAAAGGGCUGCAAGACCGCGAGGUCAAGCCAAUCCCAUAAAACCAUUCUCAGUUCGGAUUGUAGCUGCAACUCGCCUACAUGAAGCUGGAAUCGCUAGUAAUCGCGGAUCAGCAUGCCGCGGUGAAUACGU
rnacentral:rRNA from 1 species